rnacentral:rRNA from 1 species
UUCCGGUUGGUAUCNGCCGGACCUGACUGCUAUCGGAUUGAUACUAAGCCAUGCGAGUCAUUGUAGCAAUACAAGGCAGACGGCUCAGUAACGCGUAGUCAACCUACCCUAUGGACGGGAAUAACCUCGGGAAACUGAGUAUAAUGCCCGAUAGAACACUAUACCUGGAAUGGUUUGUGUUUCAAAUGAUUUAUUGCCGUAGGAUGGGACUGCGGCCUAUCAGUUUGUUGGUGAGGUAAUGGCCCACCAAGACUAUUACAGGUACGGGCUCUGAGAGGAGUGGCCCGGAGAUGGGUACUGAGACACGGACCCAGGCCCUAUGGGGCGCAGCAGGCGAGAAAACUUUGCAAUGUGCGAAAGCACGACAAGGUUAAUCCGAGUGGUUUGUGCUAAACGAACCUUUUGUUAGUCCUAGAAACACUAACGAAUAAGGGGUGGGCAAGUUCUGGUGUCAGCCGCCGCGGUAAAACCAGCACCUCAAGUGGUCAGGAUGAUUAUUGGGCCUAAAGCAUCCGUAGCCGGCUCUGUAAGUUUUCGGUUAAAUCUGUACGCUCAACGUACAGGCUGCCGGGAAUACUGCAGAGCUAGGGAGUGGGAGAGGUAGACGGUACUCGGGAGGAAGUGGUAAAAUGCUUUGAUCUUUCGAUGACCACCUGUGGCGAAGGCGGUCUACCAGAACACGUCCGACGGUGAGGGAUGAAAGCUGGGGGAGCAAACCGGAUUAGAUACCCGGGUAGUCCCAGCUGUAAACUAUGCAAACUCAGUGAUGCAUUGACUUGUGGUCAAUGCAGUGUUGCAGGGAAGCCGUUAAGUUUGCCGCCUGGGAAGUACGUACGCAAGUAUGAAACUUAAAGGAAUUGGCGGGGGAGCACCACAAGGGGUGAAGCCUGCGGUUCAAUUGGAUUCAACGCCGGA